GACGAACGCUGGCGGCGUGCUUAACACAUGCAAGUCGAACGGAAAGGCCCCUUUGGGGGUACUCGAGUGGCGAACGGGUGAGUAACACGUGAGUAACCUGCCCUUGACUUCGGGAUAACUUCAGGAAACUGGGGCUAAUACCGGAUAGGAAUCCUUGCUGCAUGGUGGGGGUUGGAAAGCUUCGGCGGUUUUGGAUGGACUCGCGGCUUAUCAGCUUGUUGGUGGGGUAGUGGCUUACCAAGGCUUUGACGGGUAGCCGGCCGGAGAGGGCGACCGGCCACAUUGGGACUGAGAUACGGCCCAGACUCCUACGGGAGGCAGCAGUGGGGAAUAUUGCACAAUGGGCGGAAGCCUGAUGCAGCAACGCCGCGUGCGGGAGGACGGCCUUCGGGUUGUAAACCGCUUUCAGCAGGGGCGAAGCUUGUGGUGACGGUACCUGCAGAAGAAGCACCGGCUAACUACGUG
rnacentral:rRNA from 1 species